rnacentral:rRNA from 1 species
GGAUCCACUUUGCUGCACCAAAC